GGCCGCUCUUGCUCUUGCUCUUUCGGGAAGGCUGCCAGUGCGGGAAAAGGUGUGCAUGCCUGUGCCUGGGUUUGCGGAAACAGCUCCAGCGACGCCCACCAUGACGGCAGUCACACUGGCAUGUUUACCCAGGGCUGUGGCCCCGGCAGAGGCAGAGAGAGAGGGAGAAGAAAAACUUUCCAACUGUGGCAAUUAUCAUUCUUAAGGGCUGAGUCAAGGCACAGGUUUUUUGGGUGACGUAAGCGUAUUGGGACUCGGGUUGCAGUCCAUGUCAAGUGUUGUGGUGUGCUGAAACGAGCCCAGCGCGCCGGGCUUUGUUGUGAUCGUGAACGAUUGAGAGGGCUUGGCCGGUUUGUUGGCUGAGCGAACAAUGAGAACAAUCGGAGUGAGAGUGUGUGAGAGUGUGUGUGUGUGGGUGUGUGUGUGGGUGUGUUACGUUAGAAGAAGAAUCUGACUCCCAGGAAUUUGAAUGAGGUAAUGUAAAACAAUUAAUAUAUAAACGAGGGAAGUGUCCGUCUCUCUUUUGCUUUCUCUCCCGCCCAAGAAGCUCUCACAAAUACCAAAACAAAAAUGGCAUGAAUGCAGAAAACACACUUUCUCUGGGUCCCGGUUGUACAAGAGAGGGGAUUGUGUGUCUUGAGGGGGGGAAGUGAGCAGCUGUUGAGUGCAUUUCUCUAGGGCAGAUGAGGGAGUGUGCCUGGGGUCAGAUGUCUGGCUGACAACUGUUUGCUAGGCUCCAGUUUCCUCCUAGACAGGUGACAAUGGCUAGCGAGCGGUAUGCUGCGGCAUGCCUUGGGUUCGAGGUGUAAAUGCAGGGAGUGAGGUCACGUUGUUUGGUGUGACAACACUGCAACCGGUGUGAUUCAACUGGAAAGUGUUUGUUUUUUUACCCCCCCUAAGCCUGUUGUGGGCGACUUUUACCGUCAUUAAAAAGUCCAACGUGUUAA